CCUGGGUUCUAUAAAGCAGGUUGCUGGCCAAGCCACAAGGAGCAAGUCAGGUAAUCAGCACUCCUCUAUAUCCUCCACAAUAGCUCCUGCCUCCAUAUUACAUGCCCUAUUUGAGGUCUUCUACUGACUUCUUUAGAAGAUGAACAGUUAUAUAAAAGGUUUUAAAGGCAUUCAAAGAUCACUGAAAGCAGUUGAGGCAUCGUACCAGAAAGAGAGACCAGAAGACCCUACUGGUGAAAGUACAGUCCAAUUAAAGCAGAAGACUCCAAGACUUUGGAGAUUCCAGUGCCAUGGGACAAUCUCCAGGAAGAGCAACUAUGGAAUAGAGCCUAUGAGACAAGCUAUGUCCUUAGUGGCAAACAUUUUGGGGGUACACAGAAGACCAUGAAUGAUUUCUGGUUUUUGAAUACUGAGCUCAUUACAGUUUGAAUUUUGUUUUGCUUUGAGUCACUGUGCCCUGAUUGUUCCCUUUUGAAAUAAGAAAUUAUUUUUUUGUUAUUUUACUGUAGGCUACAGUUCGGAGAUUUGAACUUUUAUAAGAGAUUUUGAAGCUUUGUAAAGACUUUGGAUUAUUAAAGAGAAUGAACUUUUAAAAUGGUUUAAAUUUUAAAGAUCUUGAAACUUUGAAGUUUCUAAUGGUUCAUAUUGGAACAUAAAUAUUGAUAUGGAAUUUUAUAGACAACAGGAAAGGUUAUGCUUAAUAAGAGAUGUGUUUUUGUGUCAGUUUGAAAACGGCUCAAUUGGGCUGGCUAGAUUUUAUGCCAUCUCGACACAAGCUAGAGUAGUCUGGUGGGAGAAAAUAUCAGCUCAGAAAAUGCCUCUAUAAAAUCUGGCUAUGGGCGAGCCUGUUGUGCAUUUUCUUAAUUAGUGAUUGGUGUGGAAAAUCCAGCCAUCAUGGGUGGGGACACCCUUCGCCUGGUAGGCCUGAAUUCUAUAGGAAGUAAGGCUGAGUAAAUUAAAAAAAAAAGCAGUAAUUCUCCAUACCUCUGCAUCAUCUCCUGUUCCUCAUUCAGGCCCUGUUGACUUCCUGUCUUGAUUUCUUCAAUGAUAAACAGUGAUGGAGAAUAUUAAGUAAAACCAGCCCUUUCCUCCCUAAGUUGUUUUGACUAUGGUGUUUCAUCACAGCAAUACUCAUCAUAACUAAAACACAAUUGAUGAGCACUGAAAUAAUGUACAUACUCCUAAAACCCAAAAACUGAGGAAGCUAUAUAUGUUAUUUAUGCUUAUAUGUGACAAAAAUUAAAAAAGAGGCCAUAAUUAGAGAUUUAUACAAGAAAAGACAUGGAAAAUGUUAGAAGGGGGAACGAAGAGGGUUGUCUAAAUUAGGGUUACUAUUACUGUGAAGAAACAGUAUGACCAAAUGCAACUAGGCAAAGAUAGUAUAUGUGGAUGUAAUAAUAAUUAAGAAAAACAGAAUUCAUGAAUUUCAAAGUCCAUA
rnacentral:lncRNA from 1 species